rnacentral:rRNA from 1 species
AAGUCGAACGAAGGCUUCGGCCUUAGUGGCGCACGGGUGCGUAACGCGUGGGAAUCUGCCCUUGGGUUCGGAAUAACAGUUGGAAACGACUGCUAAUACCGGAUGAUGUCGCGAGACCAAAGAUUUAUCGCCCAGGGAUGAGCCCGCGUCGGAUUAGGUAGUUGGUGGGGUAAAGGCCUACCAAGCCGACGAUCCGUAGCUGGUCUGAGAGGAUGAUCAGCCACACUGGGACUGAGACACGGCCCAGACUCCUACGGGAGGCAGCAGUGGGGAAUAUUGGACAAUGGGCGAAAGCCUGAUCCAGCAAUGCCGCGUGAGUGAUGAAGGCCUUAGGGUUGUAAAGCUCUUUUACCCGGGAUGAUAAUGACAGUACCGGGAGAAUAAGCUCCGGCUAACUCCGUGCCAGCAGCCGCGGUAAUACGGAGGGAGCUAGCGUUGUUCGGAAUUACUGGGCGUAAAGCGCACGUAGGCGGCUUUGUAAGUCAGGGGUGAAAGCCUGGAGCUCAACUCCAGAACUGCCUUUGAGACUGCAUCGCUUGAAUCCGGGAGAGGUGAG